CGGUUUGUCGCGUCUGCCGUGAAAGUCCGGGGCUUGACUCCGGAUCUGCGGUGGGUACGGGCAGACUAGAGUGCAGUAGGGGAGACUGGAAUUCCUGGUGUAGCGGUGAAAUGCGCAGAUAUCAGGAGGAACACCGAUGGCGAAGGCAGGUCUCUGGGCUGUAACUGACGCUGAGGAGCGAAAGCAUGGGGAGCGAACAGGAUUAGAUACCCUGGUAGUCCAUGCCGUAAACGUUGGGCACUAGGUGUGGGGGACAUUCCACGUUUUCCGCGCCGUAGCUAACGCAUUAAGUGCCCCGCCUGGGGAGUACGGCCGCAAGGCUAAAACUCAAAGGAAUUGACGGGGGCCCGCACAAGCGGCGGAGCAUGCGGAUUAAUUCGAUGCAACACGAAGAACCUUACCAAGGCUUGACAUGAACCGGAAUGAUGCAGAGAUGUGUCAGCCACUUGUGGCCGGUUUACAGGUGGUGCAUGGUUGUCGUCAGCUCGUGUCGUGAGAUGUUGGGUUAAGUCCCGCAACGAGCGCAACCCUCGUUCCAUGUUGCCAGCGGGUUAUGCCGGGGACUCAUGGGAGACUGCCGGGGUCAACUCGGAGGAAGGUGGGGACGACGUCAAAUCAUCAUGCCCCUUAUGUCUUGGGCUUCACGCAUGCUACAAUGGCUGGUACAGAGAGUGGCGAGCCUGUGAGGGUGAGCGAAUCUCGGAAAGCCGGUCUCAGUUCGGAUUGGGGUCUGCAACUCGACCUCAUGAAGUCGGAGUCGCUA
rnacentral:rRNA from 1 species